GCCCCAGUAGCUCAGUGGAUAGAGCGUCGGUUUCCUAAACCGUGCGUCGCAGGUUCGAUCCCUGCCUGGGGCGCCA
rnacentral:tRNA from 1 species